rnacentral:rRNA from 1 species
AAUGGGGGAAACCCUGACGCAGCAACGCCGCGUGAGUGAUGAAGGCCUUCGGGUCGUAAAGCUCUGUCGAGAGGGAAGAAGUGAUUGAGGGUUAAUACCCCUUGAUCUUGACGGUACCUCCGAAGGAAGCACCGGCUAACUCCGUGCCACCAGCCGCGUUAAUACGGAGGGUGCAAGCGUUGUUCGGAAUUAUUGGGCGUAAAGCGCGUGUAGGCGGUUUCUCAAGUCUGAUGUGAAAGCCCCGGGCUCAACCUGGGAAGUGCAUUGGAAACUGGGGGACUUGAAUCCGGGAGAGGGCAGUGGAAUUCCUAGUGUAGGAGUGAAAUCCGUAGAUAUUAGGAGGAACACCGGUGGCGAAGGCGGCUGCCUGGACCGAUAUUGACGCUGAGGCGCGAAAGCGUGGGGAGCAAA